rnacentral:rRNA from 1 species
GUGGGGGAUAUUGCACAAUGGAGGAAACUCUGAUGCAGCGACGCCGCGUGAGUGAAGAAGUAUUUCGGUAUGUAAAGCUCUAUCAGCAGGGAAGAUAAUGACAGUACCUGACUAAGAAGCCCCGGCUAACUACGUGCCAGCAGCCGCGGUAAUACGUAGGGGGCAAGUGUUAUCCGGAUUUACUGGGUGUAAAGGGAGCGUAGACGGAAUGGCAAGUCUGAAGUGAAAUCCUGCGGCUUAACUGCAGAAUUGCUUGGAAACUGUCAAUCUGGAGUGUUGGAGAGGUAAGCGGAAUUCCUGGUGUAGCGGUGAAAUGCGUAGAUAUCAGGAAGAACACCGGAGGCGAAGGCGGCUUACUGGGAUGCAACUGACGCUCAUGCACGAAAGCGUGGGGAUCAAACAGGAUUAGAUACCCUAGUAGUCC